rnacentral:ncRNA from 1 species
UCGCGUUCUGGUGGGCUAAUUGUCAUUAAAGUUUCCUCGUUAAUUCAUAAAUUACUUUGUAACGCUGGGUAGCUAUGUCUGGAGCAAAUAACUGCUGAAAGCAUAUAAGUAGGAAGUUCACCUUAAGAUGAGUGCUCUUUUGUCUCAACCGUUCAUCCUUCUAUAAAGGUAUGUACAACCGAAAGACAAGGAAGGUCACGGCAAGACGAGCCGUUUGAUAGGCAUGAAGUAGACGUGCAGUAAUGCAUUCUGAAGCUGACAUGUCCUAAUAGACCGA